GAUGAACGCUGGCGGCGUGCCUAAUACAUGCAAGUAGAGCGCACGGACGAGAAGCUUGCUUCUCUGAUGUUAGCGGCGGACGGGUGAGUAACACGUGGACAACCUACCUAUAUGACUGGGAUAACUUCGGGAAACCGGAGCUAAUACCGGAAGAUAUCUUGAACCGCAUGGUUCAAAAGUGAAAGACGGUCUUGCUGUCACGUAUCGAUGGAUCCGCGCUGCAUUAGCUAGUUGGUAAGGGAAAGGCUUACCAAGGCAACGAUGCAUAGCCGAACGGGGAGGGGUAUCGGCCACACUUGAACCGGGGCACGGUCCCAACUCCUACGGGAGGCAGCAGUAGGGAAUCUUUCGCCAUUGGCGAAAGCCUGACGGAACAACGCCGCGGGGGUGAUGAAGGUCUUCGGAUCGUAAAACUCUGUUUUUAGGGAAAAACAGAUGUGUAAGUAACUGUGCACAUCUUGACGGGACCUAAUCAGAAAGCCACGGCUAACUACGUG
rnacentral:rRNA from 1 species